rnacentral:rRNA from 1 species
GACGAACGCUGGCGGCGUGCUUAACACAUGCAAGUCGAGCGGUAAGGCCCUUUCGGGGGUACACGAGCGGCGAACGGGUGAGUAACACGUGGGUGACCUGCCCUUAGCUCUGGGAUAAGCCUGGGAAACUGGGUCUAAUACCGGAUAUGACCCCAUGACGCAUGUUGUGGGGUGGAAAGCCUUGUGCGGCUAGGGAUGGGCCCGCGGCCUAUCAGCUUGUUGGUGGGGUGAUGGCCACCAAGGCGACGACGGGUAGCCGGCCUGAGAGGGCGACCGGCCACACUGGGACUGAGACACGGCCCAGACUCCUACGGGAGGCAGCAGUGGGGAAUCUUGCGCAAUGGGCGAAAGCCUGACGCAGCGACGCCGCGUGAGGGAUGACGGCC